UUGCUACAAUCUAGUUUGAGAACAGCUCUCUCACCCUCAAAAUUCCUGUCAUCUCCACUUGCAGUCAAUGGCCACUCCCAUGCCCAGCCCAGAUGUUUCCAUUUAUGAAGCACUUAUCAAUGUGUAAUUACCUACACAGAUUCCUCUGUCAUCUUACACAGGAGGAGGUUGGACUGUCUCACAUCUUUGGUAAAUGUAGACACAUUCAGGCAGGCUAGUGAAGCAGACAGAAUUUUUCAAGCCAAAUAUAUUUUAAAUGCAAUUUCCCUCCCUUGGCUACCAUGAUCUUUGGACAUGCUUUCCUAGGCAUUAAGAACAUGACAAGCUGCUGAAGAAUUUAGAUAGAGACAGUUAGGAAAGGGAUUCUAGUGAAAAAAAAAUGUGGUUCUGAGGUCUACUGAGAAGCAGGAAGGAAAUGUAUAAGCACAUUGGUGAUGUUCAAGUCUGUCUUUAAAAAGGCAAAGGAUAUAAUUUAAAAAGAAAAAAGAAUUAGACAGGAUCGGUUAGAGUGGGUCACUGAAAAAUACACGCCCUUAGAAGGCUUCUUCUGCCACUGUUAAACUUCUUUCAGACUUGAACCAAUUCUUAUCAGAAUCCCACUAAAUAAUUACUUUCUCAAAUAUAUUUACCUGAGGCCAAAAUAAUCUAUUCCCCCUGAUUAUACACUCAGGUAAGGACUCUGUAUUUUCUUUUCCAUCUGGACAAAGAAACUACUAGAAUUUCCUCUGGAUCUUCACCCCCUCCCCUGCAAACCAUCCUUCAUUACUCCAUCACUAUCUUUAUUACCGCCACAGUGUAGCCAGGUGGGGAGACCAAGAGCCCCUCAAAAAGACAGACCUUGCCCUGCCUCUGACUAAUACUAUGGCCCCAUAUUUUUCCAUAGUUUCCCUCAAUCUCUUUCUUACCAUAAAAACAGAGGCAAAAAAAAACAAACAAACAAACAAAAAAACCCAACUCAAAGAGUUUUUCAAAAGAUGAAGUGAGAUAACUUCUUAGUAUGUAGUGUAUGCUUAAGGCUUAUUAACUGGACUUCUUGCCUGUAUUUGGGGAUGGAUGAAUAGUUUUCAAUCCAUCUUCUAUAUUUUCUUCACAUAAUGUAAAUAUGUGAAAGCGAGGUCCUUACUUUCUCAAGCUUGUAUUUAUAGAUAAAGAUGUGUAAUGAAAAGCUAUAGGAGUUUUGCCACAGAAUGCUUAUGAAGACAUUGAUGGAAAGUGAUGUCAUUUGUACAGAAAUUGAAGGAUAAGGAAAGACACAUUGCAAGAGAGAAAAAUACAAAUAGUCAUUUACUCAACAAAAGGAAGAGAGACUAUUAGAGAUUAAGAGAGAUUUAAUAGGCAAAAUAAGUAAAUGUAAUGUUUGAACUUGUUUGGAUGAUAAACUUAAUAAACCAAUAGUAAAAAUUCA